rnacentral:tRNA from 1 species
GCAGCUGUAGCCCAGUUGGUAGAGCAUUUGCCUGGUAUGCACAAAGCCCCGGGUUCCAGCCCCACUGCUGCA